GCGUUCACCUUUGCUUCUGCUCAGAAACCUGUAAUCUGCGUCCACAGGGACAGCUGGUGGGAUGAGAGGCCAGGAUCCUGCCUGAACACGUCCACGCUUCUGGAGGCCCCAGGAGAAAGGGGACCAGGCGUCCAGGAGUGUGACGGGCUGGGGUGACGGCACAGACGCUUCUGUAACGACGAUGCGGUCACUCACACUGUGCGCAGCACUGAGAAAAACGGCUUUCCAGGAAUGCUGCUGCAAGCGUCCCGUCUAAGUGCCCCUGCUCCCCACACUGCUCCCGGACGCACGGCCCCUCACCGACCGAACAGCAAAGAGGAGGCUGGCAGGGCACUGCACAGGGGCACGGGCCGAAGCCUGCUGGAGAGGAGCCCACUCCACUCUGAGGGACGAACGCCCGCGUCAUCUCCCUGCUGACCUCACACGGGGCGCCGCGUGCCAGGCUGGGCUCCAGCAGCCACCUAAGGCCUCAUGCGAGGGUUCUUUCCAAAGAGGAGAUGGGGAGAGGGGCACGGCUACAGCCCAGGCCCGUCCGAGGGCAGCGCGGGGCUGACUCGUGUUAAGUAAAGAUUCAAAUCAACAAAAUGCAUCGCUAUGGAAACAUUCAGCUUUUUCAAAACCAUCGCUCAGAAAAAUAAAGCAAUCGAGACUUCAGAUUCAACACUUACCAAGUGUUUAUGACCAGAAAAGGCAAUGUGGGUCUUGGAUAUUCCGCAGCCAAGUAAAAGCUGCCAGACUCAGCGGGGCAGAGACCCAUCACGUGCGGGAUUCCUCCACAGGCCCCCCGGGGCCUCCACUCAGCACAGCACCCUGUUGCGUGGCGAUUCAGGGCACAGAGCCACGCACUGAGCAGGGCCAGCCACAGGGGCCAGGAGGCCGCAGACUCGGGAAACGUCAGGGUUACGGGCUGUGAUCCAAAUGCCACCGAAGUCAGUGGACCAGGUUUCACGGUGGAGGAUACAUGAUCGCUAGCUGCUGUUCUGAGGCGGCCUGCCUGUCAUCGAGGCGCUUCCAGGGCACCACCCGACCCGUUUCUUCGGGCCACCUGCUCGCCGCAGCAGUACCCUCAUGAACUAUGAAGCGUGAUGCUGACUUUGCGCGUCCUCGGGGCCCCCAGUUGUACUCACAGCAAGUAUCUGCUUGUCAUUUCAAAAGGGAUAUCAUCUUCGUGGUUAGAGAAAAAAAAAGGCAGUCCUACCACCGGGUGCCGAGAAACAGAAGCUGCGGUUGCUGCUCUCAGAUGAAGAUGCCCCGGCGGUGGCCCGGCUGCGGGCACGGAGCAUGCAUCUGUCUCCCUGGCAGCCCCAGCAGCGACGAGGGAAGAGAUCAAAUGUGCAGCUGACACGAGGGGAGGCCCUGACCCUACGUUAGGAGGGACGCCGUAGGACCGGGGACCAGCUGCGGGUUCUGUGGUCUACGGGGGCGGAAGAGGAAUUUCCCGAUGUCAUGCAUCAGACUCACAACCCAAGCUGGCUGUACCAUCCUGGCCAGAUUUUGUUUAAUAGGAAAACAGCCAGGAAUUAGAGGCUUUAUUUUAUUUUUAUGGUAAUUUGUAUCUCCCUCCCUAAAAGGCUUGGUGUGAUGUUCAGAUUUUAUAAAGCGCUGAGCAUUUCUUAGAGAAAGGAGCUAUCCACACGCAAAACAUCACCAGAAAAGGGUGGGGGUGGGAGGGAGCCAGAAUCCGACAGAGAGCAGGGCCUGCUUGGCCCAGAGUCCCAUCAAGCACCGGGGAAGAGCCUGCCAGCUGGUGGCAAGUCCCACCAUCCCCGAGACCGUGCAUCUUACAGCCCGGAACACAAACAGGAUCACAAGCAAGAAGCCUCUACACAUUUUCCCAGCAGGCAGCCAGGGAAACUCUAACUCUCCUGCCCUGUUUUCAUCCCUUUAAUUCCAUUUUCUUUCUCUUGAGUUUUCCUUGGUUUGGAAUCAAUCCUGGGCAGCGCUCCUAGGUCAAGAGGUCAAGACGACACCUGAUUUAUGAUGCAACACAGGGCGGCCACCCUGUUCUGUUUUGGGAACCUCGGUGACAUCACGGACUAACUGUGGGAUCUCGGGAACUUGUGUCUAAGAGGGCACUGAGUCAGAAGACAGCUUUCGUCACAGGGCUCCCGGAACCUAAAGGAAAAAUGACUAUUGGGUAACUGAGUGUGUCCCCAGGGGACUGCUCCCGCUUCUCUCUGGCUUGGGCUUAAGUGACUCAAGUCGUUCUCCAGGGGAAACUCAUCUGUGCGGGACAGCUGUCACCAGCAGGACAUUUGCUGCUCUUCAGCCUAAAUUUCUCAUGACAUCACUCCAUUACUUCUCUCUCCGAGGGGACAGGCUUCUCUCGUGUUACAAGUUUCCCGGUGGCUGCCUGCAGAUGGCUGGGCUACCGGACGAAGCCUCUGCUCCUUGUUCAGAGGCCUGUACCCAGCGUGUCCCAGGAGGGAGACUCGGUUAGAUGAAGUGCUCCCGGAACACGCAGCUUUCCAUUACGGAAGUGGCAAGCCAAGAUGCUGGGCCGUUGAGGUGGACUUCACGAGACUCGGUGAGGCCUCCUCUGGUUCUGGGCAGCGGUCUGCCUGCCGAGGGCUGCGGUCGCCGAUGCCUGUUUAUAUCCUACUUCACGGAGUCACAAAGAGCAGACACGUGCGCAUUUACCCUGGUGGCGGGGCCCACUCAAUUGCCUCAAACGAAGCAGGGAGGGCGGGAAGAAACAGUCCACAGACAAAAUCACCCGUGAGCACGGCCACAGCAGUUUUUAAUUUGUGUAAAGAAAAUAUGUGAUUUCAAGAUGCGAUCGGGGAGCAGCGUCCCAGCGGUGAAGAGAGCACGCACGCGAGCCGCUGGCCGUCUCUGAACAGGACUCUGAGCUGGGAAGCAAAUCCCACCCCGUCUUCCCCACAGCUACCCCGAGAGAUGAGCUGCACCAGCCUCUGCAGGUUUCUUCGCAGCGGGAGGUGUGCUCGGUGUCAGCACGGCUGCUCUCUCAAGGUCUCACACCACCAGUGCCUCCGGGGUCUGGAUAAACCGUCCGAAAAGUCAGGUUUAUUCUCGGUUCUCUAGAGUGGUACUCUCUGGGGACUCGGUGCUGAACAGAAAUAUAAAUAACGCUGACAUAAACACAUUUAUGACGACAGGACGAUUUUGAUUUCACCCCCCCUUCAUCCCCUGUGAGCAUCAGUAAAGGAUCUGAAGUUUUGUGGAGAAAGGUUUUCUUCUCUGAAGUCAAGUGCCCUCCCACCCCCCGCCCGCCCAUCACUCCGAUAAGCCAGCGCCUUCACAGGGAGGUCUGUAUCUCUUGUAAUCGUGGAUCUUCCUCGCAGCUUUCUGCCACUUCCCACAUCUCCUAAGCACAUAAGCGGCUGAGAGCCAAGACGGCCAUGAGCUCGCACUCCCGUGCUAAGCGUUUACGUGAACUUGCACACCCUACAGGUGACCUGGCUUUAACACACGCAGGCCUAAGGUGUGAAGCUGUGCUAGCCACUGGCUACCUGAAGCUAUUGAAACGAAUUUAACUUAAAUUAAAAAUUCAGUCUUUUAGCACACUAGCCCCAUGUCAAGAGAUCAAGAAUAGCUGUGGGUACUACACGGGGACUUAGGAGACACAGAUACUUCCCCCGUCACAGAAAGCUCGACUGGACGCCACUGCUGCGGAUGUUUGCUCUGUAGAAUCAAAACUCCUUGAAAAUGUGCCACUGUCCUGCCUUUCGAUCAUGAUAAAAGCAACUUGCUUUUCACCAUAUGUACUAGGGAAAGUACUACUCGUGGCCGUCAGGGCACCGCCUCCGUGUGAAUCCAAAUUCCUUGCAUGUUCUCACCUGCCAGUCGGCUUGUGUGGCUCCUUCCAUGAUUAACAAGGUCCCAUGAUCCAAGGGUAUCUUCACUCUUUCCACAUAUGUGUAGUCUCCGUUCUCUUCCUAGAAAACAGCAUUCAUUGCACUACAUUUUCUGCUUGUGUGAUCAAGAUGCAGCAGAACCUGACAAUGGUCAAGGGAUGUGAACCGCUGCUCAGCUAGACUGCAGGGGUUCACCUACUGGCUCCGUGCGCGGCAGCCGCUGGGCCUUAGGCAGGUUGUGUCACCACUCUGUACCUUAGUUUACUCAUCUGUAAAAUGGGGACAACGACACGACCUGCCACAUCGGGCUGUUUUAAGCCUCCACUGAUGCGAUUUGCAUAAGUCACUUGGAGACUGGCACAUAUUAAGUACAAGUGCCAGAUAUUAUCAUCAUCAGCAUCUAAAAUGAACAAGAACCCGUUCUGGCCUGUGAAGAAAUUAAGUCACUUACACAAGAACUCUUUACGUGUGUUUUAUGCUGCGCUCUGUGUUUUGACAUAGUGUGGAAAAAAAUGGGAUUUAAACAAGACGUGGUGUGAUGAGUUCUCAUCGCCUUUUUACAAUUUAUGCUAAUUCACUAAUCAUGCCUAUGUUAAAACAGUUUACAACUCUUCCUAUAGCUCCUCUGGCGUCUUGGAGAUGUAUUCUUGUUUCUUUCCAGAAGCGUCAACAGCAAGAUUUUCUUACAUAAGGGAGCUCUGGCUUGACCCGAACACUGCUGCAAACCGGGACUGGCGGUCAAACACUUCAGAUACAAAUGCCUUGCAUUUACAUUGCCCCUCUCCUCCAGGGAGCUCAAAGUCAACUCCUGUCCGGGACUCUAGUGGAGCUUCCCGCAUGGCCUGGGAAACAGCCCAAAGGUGGGGUCCUCCUGCUUCGCAGCCAACAAAGGGGUGCAUCCGAAGAGCUAGUCAAGAGUUGAGACCCAAGUUUCCUGAGUUUUCCACGUCCAUUCUGGGCAGAUCCACCCAUUCACCUACUUCACUUCUGAUGCAAGGGAUUGCGUUUGGCUUACUGUAGGAUUGAUUUCACUGCAAUACUGUGUUUAUGUUUAUACUGUAGGGGUGCUUCUCAGAACAUAACUAUUUAUAAUGAUUUCCUUUAGGAAAGUCAAAAUCAAAACAAUAAUGAACUUGCAUAAACAGUUUAAGUUCCAGGUCCUGACCCUUGGCAGUGACUUUGUGGAGCACAGUCCUAACUUCUACAGGCAGAAGAUAAAAGCAGUGUUUGAAAUAACUUUUGGUCUUGGUGAUUGACUUUAAUUAUGUCGCCACCUUUUCUUUUGUAGUAGCAAGUAAUAACUAACCUCUGACCCCUCAGCCAGCCAGAGGGCAGUGCGAAGGUGACCCGGCCCUGGGUGGCCCAGUUGCAUCUCCGAGAAGCAAAAGUCAGCUCUCUGAAAAAAAGGAUUCCAACCAGAGAAGAUGUAUGUCCUGCUGGACAAAGUAUACCAGAAGGGAGCGCAUCAUCCAUGAGAUCAGAGGCGCAAGGCUCCUGGAUUUAGGCCGCAGAGUCCGUUACUGACCACGGCUCAACACAGGGAGGAGCAGACCUCCCGUGGCCCUCCGCAUGCCGCAUGCUCGGAGCGCACAGCAUGACCUACUCUAAGUGCAGACACGGGACAGGGCGGCGUAGUGGAGAGAGGAAAGACGCUGAACCGCACAUAAAGCCAAUCCUGAGACAAAGAUCUCUUCAAGCGGUAGAAACACUACUGAGGAGGAAGGGACGCCAAGGCCAGUGGAAAAGGAGUGAGCACUGUACUUCCACCUGGAAACAUGUGGCGGGCACAGAGCCAGCAAGGGAGAGAGGGUUCCACGUGGCAAGUGGGAAGCAUCGGCCCUGACAGAAAGUGACGUUCAACAGAGCCAUGUUUCACUUAAUGUUCCUAAGAUCUGAAUUUUUCAAAGGAGAGAAAGCCUCAGGUUGCUGUUAAACACACUACAUUCCAUUUAAACUUUAGCUCUACCUAAAAGCAGAAGACGGAGCUCCUUCACGAGGGAUAGAGCUACUCAGUCCCCAAAGGACAGUGAGACCCAGGGCACCCACUGUAGGAGGUGCCUUAGGAAUUUCAACCAACAACUGAUGCUUGAAAAUCCGCAGCAGCGGUGUUUCUCUCUACUACAAAAGUAACACACGUUCACUGAAGUAGGAGACACAUGUAAACGACUGGUUUGAUGUCUGCUUUCCUGCUCCCUCCCCGAUAAACCCCGUGAACAGAGGACUGCGUCGUCCCGUCCUCUGAAACAUGCUCUGCACCUACCGCACGCACCAACCAAUAGCUGCUGAAUGACUGAGUGCCAAGAGCACCAAGAACAUACAAUCCUAUCAUCCAGGAUCAGCGCCGUGCAUGCACAGGAAACAUCCUCUCUACAUAAUCACUUUACACUUGGAACAUUAGAGAGUGAGCAGGUUUCUUCAUCUCAAAUGUACAGUAUUUCAGAAAUGGGGUUAUAGAAUAUUCCUUUAUAUGAACAUAUCUUUCCUUCUUUAAACUCACAAAUAUUUUUUCACCACUUGUGUCUGUCAGGCACUGAGCUAAUGCUAAGAAUAUAGUAAUGAGGUACACAGUGUUGGACACGGAGAUUUUAAUACACCAGCACUGCUGGAAAAAAAAAAAGAAGACAAGAAAGAAACAAAGGCUACUGCAAGUAGAUCCUGGGCAAAACAUUUUUGAUUAUUUUUCUAAGGAUAUGCUCUCAAAAAUGGAACUACUGGAUCCAAGAAUACGAACUUUAAACCAGUUUGAUUUAUACCAUCAAACUGCUUAAGAAGGUUGUGGCAAUUUAGAAUUCCAUCAGGAAAAUACUACAGUACCUAUCUUUUGGUCACAUCACCAAUACCAAACAUUACCAACUGAAAAUGACGAAAAAAAAUUCAGGGGAAAAGUGACAAUUCAUUAUUCAAACAGAGAAUUCUUUAAUUAUUAACCCAGUUCAACAUUUCUUCCCAUGACUAUUUGCUGUUUGCAUUUACUCUGUUGUCAACUCUCUGUUCAUGUUCCUUGUCCAUUGUUCUACAGGAUGUUAGUAUUUCUCUUAUUGAUCUGUAACCACAGAUAGUGAGAUGUUUAUCCUUUGUCAUACUUUCUGAAAAUAUUUUUCUCAUUUGGUAUUUGUCCCUUAACGGAGUUGAUGAUACUUAAUAUAGAGUAGCUCAAAGA